rnacentral:rRNA from 1 species
GUAGGGAAUCUUCCGCAAUGGACGAAAGUCUGACGGAGCAAUGCCGCGUGAGUGAAGAAGGUUUUCGGAUCGUAAAACUCUGUUGUUAGAGAAGAACAAGGAUGAGAGUAACUGCUCAUCCCCUGACGGUAUCUAACCAGAAAGCCACGGCUAACUACGUGCCAGCAGCCGCGGUAAUACGUAGGUGGCAAGCGUUGUCCGGAUUUAUUGGGCGUAAAGCGAGCGCAGGCGGUUCUUUAAGUCUGAUGUGAAAGCCCCCGGCUCAACCGGGGAGGGUCAUUGGAAACUGGAGAACUUGAGUGCAGAAGAGGAGAGUGGAAUUCCACGUGUAGCGGUGAAAUGCGUAGAUAUGUGGAGGAACACCAGUGGCGAAGGCGACUCUCUGGUCUGUAACUGACGCUGAGGCUCGAAAGCGUGGGGAGCAAACAGGAUUAGAUACCCUUGUAGUCC